rnacentral:rRNA from 1 species
CGGCAACAGCUCAGAUUUGAAAUCUGGCCCUAGGCCCGAGUUGUAAUCUGUAGAGGAUGCUUUUGGUGCGGCGCCUUCUGAGUUCCCUGGAAUGGGACGCCAUAGAGGGUGAGAGCCCCGUAUAGUUGGACGCCAAGCCUCUGUAAAGCGCCUUCGAC